rnacentral:rRNA from 1 species
UACGUAGGGGGCAAGCGUUGUCCGGAAUCACUGGGCGUAAAGCGCGCGCAGGCGGUCCUUCAAGUCAGAGGUGAAAGCCCAGAGCUCAACUCUGGAAUGGCCUUUGAGACUAGAGGACUUGGGUACGGGAGAGGUGAGUGGAACUGCGAGUGUAGAGGUGAAAUUCGUAGAUAUUCGCAAGAACACCAGUGGCGAAGGCGGCUCACUGGCCCGAUACUGACGCUGAUGCACGAAAGCGUGGGGAGCAAACAGG